UUACUAUUUAAAAAAGUUGAUAUCUUUAAAUAUUUUAUGGUUCUUGUCGAGAUGAAAAUAAAAGUUGAUCGCAGAAGGUAACGGACAACCAAAACCCUCAAGAUGAUCUCCAGAGCACCCAACAUGACUAAUCCAAGGAAAGCUCACCAAGACAAGCCUUGGGCAAGGCCCAAGGCAAGCCCCAAACGGAAGACCCUCGAAGACCUGGUUCCCACUUGCAAGACCACUUGACCAAGGUUCAAUGCAUCUCAGAAAGAUACCUCAACACCAAGCUAAUGAUGAAACGUCACAUGGCACCAAGUUACUUCACCAUUGGCUAUAAAUGGAAGGAUUCACUGCCAUUCACAGAAAGACCAGUCAUAUACUUCACUACAUAGCAAUUGAAAAGCAUCUUCUACCCCUCUUUUUCAAAACUUCUUCUUUUCUUGCAUUAAGUUAUACCUGAUCAUUGAGUUGAGUUGGAGUAUGCCUCGGAAGGAAGUCCUCUGGUGCCCGCUAACAUUAUCCCUUUCUCUACAGACGUCCUUGUAAGUCUCCAUAGUCCGAGAUCAACCUGAUCAUCUCCCGAGAGGCUAACUUAGUCGAUCCGCUACGCUGGGAGAAGCCCACGUUGACAUCAUCUUUAGAAGCCAAGUUAGUUGAUCCUCUAUGCUGGGAAAAGUCUAGUCACGUUGAGAUAAUCUCCAUAGGCUAGCUUAGCAGAUUUGCUACCCCAAGGGAAGCCUAGCCAUGUUGAGAUCAUUUCUAGAGGACAAGUUAGUUGAUUUGCUAUGUCGGGCAUGGUUUUCAAGAUCAAACUAUUGAUUGAAUCGAUUAAACCACUAAUUUCUUGUCCGCUUAUUCAGCUAAGUCACAUCAGAAUCAUCUCCAAGGCUAUCUCUGACGACUCGCUCCCUCAGGAAGGACCUUAGCCACAGCAAGAUCACCCAUCGAAUCAUCUUGAAGCUCUCCCAUAGCUCCUCAUCCCGUUUGUAACCAUCUCGAGAUCCUCUUAAAGUUCACACGUCGUCCUAACACCUCAUCUAGAAUCAUCUGGAACAUUGUCGCCAUCUAAGGUCAUCUUUGAAAACAUUUCGCCUUCGCUCACCAAUAACCCUUCACACUUGAGAAACAAUGCUCUCAUUGUUGUGGUCCGGGAACUUUUUCGGCCUCAACAGUUCUACAAAUGAAAUAUUUUGUUUGUAGUUAAUUUGUAAAUAAAUAAUAAUAAUUUUCAUGUCAUUUUUAAUUUAGUGUUAUCCAUCAAUCGAAAACUUAGUUGUAAAAUUAUCAAAA